rnacentral:rRNA from 1 species
GACGAAGGAUGCAAGCGUUAUCCGGAUUCAUUGGGUUUAAGGGAGCGUAGGUGGACUUGUAAGUCAGUGGUGAAAUCUUUGGGCUUAACCCAGAAACUGCCAUUGAUACUGCAGGUCUAGAGUACAGUUGCCGUUGGCGGAAUAUGACAUGUAGUGGGUGAAAUAACUUAGAUAUGUACAUAGAACACCGAUUGCGAAGGCAGCUAACGAAGCUGUAACUGACACUGAGGC